AGUGAACGCUGGCGGUAGGCCUAACACAUGCAAGUCGAACGGCAGCACAGUAAGAGCUUGCUCUUACGGGUGGCGAGUGGCGGACGGGUGAGGAAUACAUCGGAAUCUACUUUUUCUUGGGGGAUAACGUAGGGAAACUUACGCUAAUACCGCAUACGACCUACGGGUGAAAGCAGGGGAUCUUCGGACCUUGCGCGAUUGAAUGAGCCGAUGUCGGAUUAGCUAGUUGGCGGGGUAAAGGCACACCAAGGCGACGAUCCGUAGCUGGUCUGAGAGGAUGAUCAGCCACACUGGAACUGAGACACGGUCCAGACUCCUACGGGAGGCAGCAGUGGGGAAUAUUGGACAAUGGGCGCAAGCCUGAUCCAGCCACACCGCGUGGGUGAAAAAGGCCUUCGGGUUGUAAAGCCCUUUUGUUGGGAAAGAAAAGCAGCAGGUUAAUACCCCGCUGUUCUGACGGUACCCAAAGAAUAAGCACCGGCUAACUUCGUG
rnacentral:rRNA from 1 species